GUGAGGAAUUUUCCGCAAUGGGCGAAAGCCUGACGGAGCAAUGCCGCGUGAAGGAUGAAGGCCUAUGGGUUGUAAACUUCUUUUCUUAGAGAAGAAUAUUGACGGUAUCUGAGGAAUAAGCAUCGGCUAACUCUGUGCCAGCAGCCGCGGUAAGACAGAGGAUGCAAGCGUUAUCCGGAAUGAUUGGGCGUAAAGCGUCUGUAGGUUGCUUCAAAAGUCUCUGGUCAAAGAUCAGGGCUUAACCCUGGGCCGGCAGGAGAAACUCUGAGGCUAGAGUUUGGUAGGGGCAGAGGGAAUGCCCGGUGGAGCGGUGAAAUGCGUAGAGAUCGGGAGGAACACCAAAGGCGAAAGCACUCUGCUGGGCCACAACUGACACUGAGAGACGAAAGCGAGGGGAGCAAAAGGGAUUAGAAACCCUAGUAGUCC
rnacentral:rRNA from 1 species